GACGUAGGGGGCCAGCGUUGUUCGGAAUUACUGGGUGUAAAGGGUUCGUAGGCGGUGCGGCAAGUUGGGAGUGAAAUCUCUGGGCUUAACCCAGAGGCUGCUUCCAAAACUGCUGUGCUUGAGUGUGGGAGAGGCGCGUGGAAUUGCAGGUGUAGCGGUGAAAUGCGUAGAUAUCUGGAGGAACACCGGUGGCGAAAGCGGCUCACUGGAUCGAAUCUGACACUGAGGUGCGAAAGCUAGGGUAGCAAACGGG
rnacentral:rRNA from 1 species